rnacentral:rRNA from 1 species
UACGUAGGUGGCAAGCGUUGUCCGGAUUUAUUGGGUUUAAAGGGUGCGUAGGCGGUUCCAUAAGUCAGUGGUGAAAUACAAUAGCUUAACUAUUGAGGUGCCAUUGAUACUGCGGAACUUGAGUACAGACGAGGUAGGCGGAAUUGACGGUGUAGCGGUGAAAUGCUUAGAUAUCGUCAAGAACACCGAUAGUGAAGACAGCUUACUAGGCUUCUACUGACGCUGAGGCACGAAAGUGUGGGGAUCAAACAGG